UACGUAGGGGGCAAGCGUUAUCCGGACUUACUGGGUGUAAAGGGAGCGUAGACGGCAGUGCAAGUCCGGAGUGAAAGCCCGGGGCUCAACCCUGGGACUGCUCUGGAAACUGUAAAGCUGGAGUGCGGGAGGGGCAGGCGGAAUUCCUGGUGUAGCGGUGAAAUGCGUAGAUAUCAGGAGGAACACCGGCGGCGAAGGCGGCCUGCUGGACCGUAACUGACGUUGGGGCUCGAAAGCGUGGGGAGCAAACAGG
rnacentral:rRNA from 1 species